GCCUUGAUCCCGUAAACCUUUAGUUAACAACUAAAAACCUAAACCAGCGGGCUUCAAUCUACUUCUCCCGUUAUAAAAAAACGGGAGAAGCCCCGGCAC
rnacentral:tRNA from 1 species